AUAAUGCAUUCUGGGUAAAUUUGUUUGAGCGGGAAAAUUUUACAGUAUAUUUUGGUCUUGAUGUAACCUUGCUGUAGCCAUUGCUGUAAUGUGCCAGGUGUACUUGCAAUAAUCAGAGAAAGUGCGCCAGAGUCAAAUCACACAGACAGCACAACUCCUGGCUGCAGCUGAAGGAGGACGAUUGAUUUCUGGCAGUUCGUCUUACCAUUGCUUGUAAGCUGGAUUGGGUAAGAUGGAUCAUCUUUAAAGGCACCAGGAGUUAAGGCAGAUGUGGAGGCACAACGGGUGAUACCAGACACACACCAAGCACAUUAUGUUCGGU